rnacentral:rRNA from 1 species
GAUCAUUACAAGAAGCCGAAAGGCUACUUCAAACCAUCGCGAACUCGUCCAAGUUGCUUCGGCGGCGCGGCACCCCUUAACGGGGGCGCCGCAGCCCUGCCUCUCCGGAGGUUCGGGGCGCCCGCCGGAGGUACGAAACUCUGUAUUAUAGUGGCAUCUCUGAGUAUAAAACAAAUAAGUUAAAACUUUCAACAACGGAUCUCUUGGUUCUGGCAUCGAUGAAGAACGCAGCGAAAUGCGAUAAGUAAUGUGAAUUGCAGAAUUCAGUGAAUCAUCGAAUCUUUGAACGCACAUUGCGCCCGGUAGUACUCUACCGGGCAUGCCUGUUCGAGCGUCAUUUCAACCCUCAAGCCCUGCUUGGUGUUGGGGCCCUACGGCUGCCGUAGGCCCUGAAAGGAAGUGGCGGGCUCGCUACAACUCCGAGCGUAGUAAUUCAUUAUCUCGCUAGGGAGGUUGCGGCGUGCUCCUGCCGUUAAAGACCCAUCUUUAACCAAGGUUGACCUCGGAUCAGNAGGA